UGGUGCUUGCAUCAUGAUUUACAUUUGAGUGAGUGGCGAACUGGUGAGUAACACGUGGGAAACCUGCCCAGAAGCGGGGGAUAACACCUGGAAACAGAUGCUAAUACCGCAUAACAACUUGGACCGCAUGGUCCGAGUUUGAAAGAUGGCUUCGGCUAUCACUUUUGGAUGGUCCCGCGGCGUAUUAGCUAGAUGGUGGGGUAACGGCUCACCAUGGCAAUGAUACGUAGCCGACCUGAGAGGGUAAUCGGCCACAUUGGGACUGAGACACGGCCCAAACUCCUACGGGAGGCAGCAGUAGGGAAUCUUCCACAAUGGACGAAAGUCUGAUGGAGCAACGCCGCGUGAGUGAAGAAGGGUUUCGGCUCGUAAAACUCUGUUGUUAAAGAAGAACAUAUCUGAGAGUAACUGUUCAGGUAUUGACGGUAUUUAACCAGAAAGCCACGGCUAACUACGUGCCAGCAGCCGCGGUAAUACGUAGGUGGCAAGCGUUGUCCGGAUUUAUUGGGCGUAAAGCGAGCGCAGGCGGUUUUUUAAGUCUGAUGUGAAAGCCUUCGGCUCAACCGAAGAAGUGCAUCGGAAACUGGGAAACUUGAGUGCAGAAGAGGACAGUGGAACUCCAUGUGUAGCGGUGAAAUGCGUAGAUAUAUGGAAGAACACCAGUGGCGAAGGCGGCUGUCUGGUCUGUAACUGACGCUGAGGCUCGAAAGUAUGGGUAGCAAACAGGAUUAGAUACCCUGGUA
rnacentral:rRNA from 2 species